UCCCAGUUCGGACUGCAGCCUGCAACCCGGCUGCACGAAGCUGGAAUCGCUAGUAAUCGCGAAUCAGAAUGUCGCGGUGAAUACGUUCCCGGGUCUUGUACACACCGCCCGUCACACCAUGGGAGUCGGAAAUGCCCGAAGUCAGUGACCCAACCGUAAGGAGGGAGCUGCCGAAGGUGGAGCCGGUAACUGGGGUGAAGUCGUAACAAGGUAAC
rnacentral:rRNA from 1 species